UGCAUCGAUGAAGAACGCAGCGAAAUGCGAUACGUAGUGUGAAUUGCAGAAUUCCGCGAAUCAUCGAGUCUUUGAACGCAAGUUGCGCCCGAGGCUUGUCCGAGGGCAUUUCCGCUAGAGCGUCACCGCGCCCCCCCACCGAUCCACUCUCGCCGCGAGGCGCCAGUCGGGUCGAGUGCAAGUGGCCGUCCCGGUGGAGCGGGCCUCCUUUCGCGAGGAGGCCCGACUUGGAAGGGUCGGCUGAAAUGGAUGGAAUCGGGCCGCCGUGGUGACACAGUCCGCGAUCGGGUGAUUUCGUCGCGAGGCUCCUUCGGGAGGUUCUCGGCGAAUUUUUUCUAAGUGCUUGGCUGCGUCCCCCAGUUGGCUCGGGUUACCUCAUGCAGGUCGAGCGCGCCCCCGCGGCGCGCGUCACGCAUCAGACCUCUAAUCGGAAAAGACUACCCGCUGAGUUUAAGCAUAUCAAUAAGCGGAG
rnacentral:rRNA from 1 species